UGGCUCUCGCAUCGAUGAAGAACGCAGCGAAAUGCGAUAAGUAAUGUGAAUUGCAGAAUUCAGUGAAUCAUCGAAUCUUUGAACGCACCUUGCGCUCCUUGGUAUUCCGAGGAGCAUGCCUGUUUGAGUGUCAUGGUAUUCUCAAUUCAUCAGGUCUUUUUGUGAGACUCUGAUGGUAUUGGACUUGGAGGCUAUUGCUGGUAUCUCUCAGAAGCCAGCUCCUCUCAAAUGCAUUAGUGUGAAUGUUCACUUCAUGCUCAGUGUGAUAAUUAUCUGCACUGUGUUUGGGUGUUAUAGGUUCAUGCUUCAAACUGUCGCGAGACAAAACACUUUGACUUCUGACCUCAAAUCAGGUAGGACUACCCGCUGA
rnacentral:misc_RNA from 1 species